ensembl:lncRNA
GGGCACCUGGAGGCACGCAUCAUACAGAAGACAAAUGUCCUACAGCUGAGCCACAUGCUGCCAUCUAACUGGAAAGCAGGGCUGGUGCUCAGUCCUACAAAGCCAGGAACAGCUCAGGCAUGUCUGAAGAAGACAGAGGGAGAAUAGCAAUGCAAGUGACAUGGAAACCCAGACAGACACAGACAGAGAUCAAAGAGAGGAGCAGCUGGAUACCUGACACAAGCCAACACUUCUGAGCAGGGCAGUUUCUGAUCUUCUGAGUCAAUACGCCAGGGGAAAUGAGAGCUGAACAGUGACAAAGGAAGGAACUUCUCUAACCUCCCUGAAACAUCCCUCCCUCAUCCCUCAUUCAUAUCUCACUGAUCAAGGCCUCUGAACCAUAAAUCACCAUGCACCAGACUAAAGGUUUUCCUGCUCUGGAAAUGCUGAUGCCUCUGUUCAG